AGAACGAACGGCUUGGGCGCGGACUGGUAUCCGGGGACUGUGACUUGCAGGGUCCGCCAUGGAGCCAGAGCAGAUGCUGGAGGGACAAACGCAGGUUGCAGAAAAUCCUCACUCUGAGUACGGUCUCACAGACAACGUUGAGAGAAUAGUAGAAAAUGAGAAGAUUAAUGCAGAAAAGUCAUCAAAGCAGAAGGUAGAUCUCCAGUCUUUGCCAACUCGUGCCUACCUGGAUCAGACAGUUGUGCCUAUCUUAUUACAGGGACUUGCUGUGCUUGCAAAGGAAAGAGUUUUACAACAGAGAGAAAAUACAGCAGUCAAGUAUAAUUUAAAAAAUUCAGCCAAUUUUUCUCAGCAUUGUUUCUGGACCUUUCUGAGGGUGGGAUCUGGGCAUCUUCAAUGGCUUAACAAGUAUCACAGAUGAGGAAACAGACUUGGAGAGGUUAAGUGACAUGCUCAAGACAACAGUGCUGGGUCUUGCUAUGUACGUUGCCCAGGUUGGAAUGCAGUGGCGUGAUCAUGGCUCACUGUAGCCUCGACCUCCUGGGCUCAAGUGAUCCUCCCGCCUCCGCCUACCAAGUAGCUAGGACCACAGGCGAAGCCACCACGCCCGGAUAAUUAAAAAAUAAAAAAUUUAUAG
rnacentral:sRNA from 1 species